GGUCGUCGCGCGCCUCGUCUGCCCCAACCCGCCGCCACGCCCCGUGCCCUACUUUUGCACCAGCGUUGGCCGAGCUCGUGACCGCCGUCGACGUCGAUCUCGUCCGUCAGCACUGUUCUUCCGCCCGCGAUCUGCAGCUGCGUUAUAUAUACUUGAGCCGAAGUCGUGCUGCCGCCUGCCGCCGAAGCAGAGCAACUGGUGAACAUUAUUCAAGAGCAAGAUUUUGAAGACGCAACAACAACAAAACAUUAUACAAAGAUAGUAAGUGGUGAACAUUAAAGAGAGAUUUUCAAGACUCUAAGCAGCAACAAAAAAAAUUAUAAAAGGCAAGUGUUCUUGAUCAUUUUGAUGUCUCAUUUAUCAUUGAUUAUAUACUGCAUGCACAUGUCAUACCUCAUAAGGACUUCAUAGGUUCUAGAAUGUUCCUUGUUAGCUAGGAUACAUGAACAUAGAUUCUUAGUUGCUUUAGCUUUUAUUUACGAUAUAUGAUUUUAUAAAUUGUUGAUACACCUUAUCAUUGCAUAUGGAAUUGAUGGUGAUACCUUGUAACGAAUUUAAUUAGAACAUGAAGUGAACAUCCAAGAAAAGAUUGCAACCACACGAACUCAUCAUUAGUUUUGCCUAAUUAAUUAGAGGAUCCUUGUGUGGACAUUAGUUUCAUACUAACAUGGAUAUGGAAGAAGGCUUCUAUAUUAGGUGGCCUUUGGAUAUAGGAGUUUUCUCCUAUGCUUGCCUAAAUCCUAGGUAUGGGAGAUUGCUUCUACAACUUGUGCUCUAUAAACUAAUACGCUUCGAGGGACCCUUUGGAAAGGCCUCGUAGUGAAACCUUGCCUAACUUUGGAAGUGUUUAAUAAGUUGUCCACCUUAGGAAAACUAGUAUCAUGUCAUGUGGAUAAAAAUCUACAACCUCUAAGAGUGUCUAAAACUAAUAUACUAAUUCUUCUCACGGUUAUGAGUGACCUAGAUCUCGCAUGUUAUAUUUAUAUUAAUAUUAAUUAUUAAUUUUUAUGCUAUGUUUCAUAUAUGCUUACUUUAUGUUAUUUAACUUAUUUAUAUUUAUAUGUAAUCAGCUAAUGGUUUUGGGAUAACACACUUUAUUAAUGAAAUGUGAUGACUAAUAAGCUUACUGGAGUAUAACUAGUGUUAGUUAUUCCUUGUUUUAAGCAUGUGAAUAUCAUUCCCUAUGCAUGCUGAGUACGAUGAUAUUCACGCUUGCUUUAUUAUUAUUUUGGAAAAAUACUGAAUGAGUACUUAGAUAGAGGAGUCUAGGCAUAUGUGUUCCAUAGUAAGCUACCUAUGGAAGAUUAGAUGUUCCAAUACGAGUUAGUUUUUGAUGUGUUUGAAUUAUUUUUGUUAAUGACUUUGAGUGAACUUUGUAAUAAUUAAAUUAUUUUAUUUAAAGCAAUAUUUAUAUUAUUCACUAAUGAUGUCAUUGUAUGGGUGUAAAACUGAUUCUGGUGCACAUAUAAUCCACUUGGUUCUAUUCUUAGAAACUUUUGCUAUUUUCUGUUACACUAUAUCCUUAGCCUUAUUUUUUUAUCCCCAACUUGUUGCUUGUUAAUUCAUUCCUCUUGUGUUUAUUCCUUGCCUCAACAAGCUUUUAAGACUAUCUCUUACCUCACUCUUUUGUAUCCUAAAGAUGGCUACAACUUAUUGGAAAAAUCCUAGGAGUCUUUUUUCACCAUUUAGUCUAAAGAAACACUUAGUUUCAAGCACAUUUAGUAACUAGUUUAGGCUUGCUUGUGUAUUUGUUAUCAUGUUUAUGCAUGAGCUGCAUCUUUGUAAAGUGUGUCAUGUAUUGUAGGUUGUUGUCCAUGACAACAAAAGUUAUUGUUAGCUACAUUCCAAAUUAUAAGACAUUUUAGCUUUUCUCUAAUCAAGAUAUAGUGUAUAUCUAAAAAUGCAUAUCAAAAGUUGUGUCUAAAAAACCAAAAUCUUUAUAAUUUGGAAUGGAGGGAGUGAUUAGUUGGGGGGUUUAAUCUUGUUAUUAUUUGAAUCAUGUUAUGUGAUAUUCUUGUUCUUUGUAUCUAAUUUUUUAUACCAUGCUAUGAUAUCUUGCAUUCUAUACCUUAUUUUCACACGUUAUAUCUUGCUCAUACCCUUUCCAUGAUCACCCUCUUUUCACCCAAAAAGAUGGUUAAUACAAUGAGCAACACUGGAGGCGCAAGUAACAACACUGGCAACAAGAACCCACCAUCUCCUUUGGCCCCUGUGACAAUGGAGAAGAUGAUGGCUAUGCAGACUUAGAUUUUGCAAGGAAUGGUUCAGAUAUUGACUUCUUUCCAGCAAGCUCAAGCUCAACAGAUGCAAACUCCACCUAGGGAUAGUCAUGGAGAAUUUAUGAAGGGUUGUCUGCCGAUUUUUGAUCAUUGUUCUGAGCCUAUAGAAGCUGAUAAUUGGCUCAAAUCAGUGGAGAGGCACCUAGAGAUCGCUCUGUGCAAUGAUACAAAGAAGGUCUUAUAUGCUUCUGGACAGCUUCAAGGAGCAGCAUUGGAUUGGUGGGUCUUCUACACCCGCUCUCAUGCAACUCCAGCUAAUAUCACCUGGCAGGAGUUUAAGGAUAGCUUUAGAUCAUACCAUAUGCCACCAGGACUAAUCAAGUUGAAAAAGAAGGAGUUUCUGAGUUUAAAGCAAGGAUCCAUGUCUAUCAGUGGGUAUCGAGAUAAAUUCAUUCACUUAUCACGUUAUGCCCCUAGCGAGGUGGAUACUGAUGAGAAGCAAGAUCACUUCAUCGAAAGGUUUAGACCUUGGUGUUCAGUACCUACUAGUAGCUCACUCAUUUGACAACUUCGAGCAACUCGUAGAUAAAGCAUUGGUAGUGGAGAACAAACUACAUGAAAUAGCAGAGAAGAGGAGAAUGACAUUCCAUAGUCAAAUAGAUAACAGUUCUCACAACUACCUUGUCACUCAAAUGGGAUCACAUGUUUUCCCUAAAGAUCUAUGAAAGCCCAGAUCAAGCUCAACCCCAACUCUAUAGUACACAAGUGUUCUGUCCAUCAUCAACUAUUUAUCCUCAGGCAAUGUCCAACCGUCAGAGUAUUCAAGCAAAAAGAGCUUAUUUCUACUCCAAGCAGGAAGGGCAUUUCAUCCGCAAAUGCCCAAACAAGCGUUUGCAUCAAGCUAAAAGGAAGGCUAUGAGGCAUAACAUUAUUAAAGGUGGCAACUAAAGAUGCUUGUAGUGACCAAAACGUUGCAUUUAGUAUGUCCUCAUCAACACAAUAACAUUUGUUUGUUUGGAAUCAGGAGCAAUGUAGCUUUGUACUUGCUAAAUAAAUGGUAUUAAAUUUCUUUACCACUCAUAUAUUAACCUCAUGCAAAUAUGAAGAGUCAUCUUUUGCUAGCCUUUACAAAUUUGAAAGAUGAGAUUCUAUUAAGGGGUAGUUUUGCCAUAACUUAUUCUUUUAUUUUGAGAUGGGAAUAAAAAACACUAAUAUGGUCUUUUUCUUUCAAACUUAAAUGCACGACCUCGUUAACUAACUCUAAUGGUGCACUCUCUAGGAUAAGUGGAGUUAUCUAGUGACCCAUUGAAAACGCUAGUGUAAUGUUCAAACUGGUGCAAAUGAGUCACAUUUACUCUUCAGUGUCUCUAAAGAACAAUUCUAGUGAGUGUAAAGACCACACUGAACUUAUUUUCUCUAACCUUUUCAAAUGGCUAACUCUAAACUAAUUUCCACAUAAAUACGAACACAUUUAGCACUGAGGUAGCAUUUUUAAAAUAUUUUGCAAAGGUUUUCACUUGCUUCCUCGCCAUGCCACUCAAUCUAGCACAUGUGUCAAUAGUCCUCAACUAGUAGCACUAGAUAAUUGCAUUAGCAAAAGAAUUCAUCUUGUACCACUAUCUAUUCAAAACCGACCAUUCACUUCUCUACACACCUUAGGCCAGUGCAAAUACCUUUGCCUUCAGACUUUAGCUUCCUAUUCUAUCCAUCUCCAUCAUCUUGUAUCACUUGUUGAGCACUUCACUUCCAUGGUCCUUGCCAUCUCCUCUAUAGCUCCAUGUAUGUCUCAACUAGCUUGUGAAUUAAGCACCUAGUCAUCUCACAAGAAAAACAUUGGUUCACCUAAUGUUGUUACUCAAUUACCAAAACAAAUCAAGACUUUGACGUUGUAUUUUCUAUAAAUAAAUGUUGCUUAACUCUUACUAGUACUACUAUCCCCUCGAU